rnacentral:rRNA from 1 species
AGCGAACGCUGGCGGCAGGCCUAACACAUGCAAGUCGAACGAACUCUUCGGAGUUAGUGGCGGACGGGUGAGUAACACGUGGGAACGUGCCUUUUGGUUCGGAAUAACUCAGGGAAACUUGUGCUAAUACCGAAUGUGCCCUUCGGGGGAAAGAUUUAUCGCCAUUAGAGCGGCCCGCGUCUGAUUAGCUAGUUGGUGAGGUAACGGCUCACCAAGGCGGCGAUCAGUAGCUGGUCUGAGGGGAUGACCAGCCACACUGGGACUGAGACCCGGCCCAAACCCUCCCGGGGGGGCGCAGGGGGGAAUUUGGCGCACUGGGCGAAAGCCGAACGCCUCCAGGCCGGGGAAAUGUGUAAGGUUUUAGGAUUGUAAAUUUUUUUACCCGGGGACGUUAAGGCGGGACCCCGGAAAAAAACCCCGGGUUACUUCGUG